UCUCAUAACUACGCCAGAAUGUGCUCAAAAUAGAUUGCGCUGUUAACGCAGCAUUGUGAUCGGAAUAACUAGCAUUAUAAUGUCGGCUGUGAAGACUGCAUUCGUUCUCAUGCUCGUCCUAACAGCCAUGAUAAGGAUAACCUCUAGUGCGGGAGGAUUCUUCGCACCGAUGUGUCUGUACAAGCCUUGCCGUGGACCGUUCGACCAGCCUUCAUGCCGACCAAGAUGCCGAUGCGCCCGGGUGAACCACGGCAUAUUCUCGUGCAUCCUAUAGGCUUAUGUUGACAUUAGGGUAACAACAACCUACUACAUCAAGGUGCAGGCUGAAAGGGUUGGAAAAUGAAUAAAGAUCAC